rnacentral:lncRNA from 1 species
CCCGCUCUCUCUCCUAAUCAUCCUCAAAUUCAUGUCACCCUCGUCGUCGUCACUGUCCAUGGUCAUGUCCUCCACUGCAACUUUAUCUUCGCAAUCUCUGCCAUAUUUGAGUUUGCAUCAUUACUGCUGAUGUCGGUGUAGGUGUGGGCGAGGAGAGAAGGACGCGGCGUCAAUGUGGGGACGGUGGAGGAGGAGGAGAAAAACGAACGGUAGAAAAAGGAAAAAAAAAAGGAAUAAAUGUAAUUUGGUCAAUUUUUUUUUAAAAAAUAGGCAUAAUAUGCAAAACUCAAAAAAGUAGUCUAUGUUUGCAAAAUUG